AAAAAAAUAAUAUUGUGCUACGGAAAAUAUCGUACUGUCUAUAUGAAAAGUGCUGAAUUUUCUUUAAACUAAAAGUAAAAUAAUUUGAAAUGAUAGUUAUAACUCCUAUUUAAGAGUGUUUUCAAAUAUCUUUGGGUGUAGAUUUAAAAGUUCCUCCUUUUAUAUCAAAAAUUGUUAAACUGUCAAACCAUCCAGCUUCUCGAGGUCUUUUGACAGCAGACAGUUAUCAGUUUUGUUUUUACUCUUCCCCUUCCCACGCAAGAAUUUGUUUGUUUUUAUUCGCGAAAAUCAAACCGCCACGGGUAAAAACAUCUUCCGAAAAAAAGUUUUGUCUGAUUCCUUUUGGCAUGGCUGCUCGUCAUAAAGGAAAAAGUUGUAAACCGUUUGCUUCAACAUUGACCGCUACUGGAUAGGCCUGCCGUUUGCUGUGCGAUUAUUUUGACUGGAGAAAAGUCAAACUGCUUUGGAUGCUAACUACCAUCAGCGGUUUUAUGCUGAUUGUCGGUGGAAAUGGACAAUGAUGGAAGACGUCCUUACAGUCUCACAAAACUUUCUGAAAAUGCCCGUUUUCCGUUCAACGCCAGCUGCAUUCGAAGAGGGCACAACAUGUCGAAGAGGGCA